rnacentral:rRNA from 1 species
AUUGAACGCUGGCGGCAGGCCUAACACAUGCAAGUCGAGCGAGCGGCGGACGGGUGAGUAAUGUAUGGGGACUGCCCGAUAGAGGGGGAUAACUACUGGAAACGGUAGCUAAUACCGCAUACUAUCGGAUAACCCAUAUGGGAUUAGAUAGUAGGGGAGGUAAUGGCUCACCUAGGCGACGAUCCCUAGCUGGUCUGAGAGGAUGAUCAGACAGACUGGGACUGAGACACGGCCCAUACUCCUACGGAGGCAGCAGUGGGGAAUAUUGCACAAUGGGCGCAAUCCUGAUGCAGCCAUGCCGCGUGUAUGAAGAAGGCCCUAGGGGUUGAAAGUACUUUCAUUCGGGAGGCGUUACCGACAGAAGAAGCACCGGCUAACUCCGUGCCAGCCGCCGCGGUAAUUC